GAUGAACGCUGGCGGCGUGCUUAACACAUGCAAGUCGAACGAGAAAUGUAGACGGAAACCUUCGGGCGGAAGCCUUCAUUUCGAGUGGCGGACGGGUGAGUAACGCGUGGGUAACCUGCCUCAUACAGGGGGAUAACAGUUGGAAACGACUGUUAAUACCGCAUAAGACCACAGCAUCGCAUGAUGCGGGGGUAAAAACUCCGGUGGUAUGAGAUGGACCCGCGUUCGAUUAGCCAGUUGGCGGGGUAACGGCCCACCAAAGCGACGAUCGAUAGCCGAUCUGAGAGGAUGACCGGCCACAUUGGGACUGAGACACGGCCCAAACUCCUACGGGAGGCAGCAGUGGGGAAUAUUGCACAAUGGGAGAAACCCUGAUGCAGCGACGCCGCGUGAGUGAAGAAGUACUUCGGUAUGUAAAGCUCUAUCAGCAGGGAAGAAAAUGACGGUACCUGAGGAAGAAGCCCCGGCUAACUACGUG
rnacentral:rRNA from 1 species